rnacentral:lncRNA from 1 species
UGGUCGUUCAUAGAUGUUUUCGAGUUUUUGACAGGGUAUCAAUCUCGUUGCGGCUUGUACCAUGUGGAUUUUGAUGAUGAGAACCGUAAAAGAACGCCGAAGCUCUCUGCCAUUUGGUACUCUAAGCUUCUUGAAAGAAAGGAUGGCAUGAAACUGAACAAAACUGCAAUGGAUACAGAAUACUAUGCUCGGUGGUAACAUUCCUCCUCACAAGUCCUGUGUUAAAUAGAUUUAGAUCACACGAGUCAGUUUUCUCGUCUUGAGCAAAUACAGGCACUCAAAUUAGCUCAAUAAAAAAAAGGAUCUAAAACUGGUAGGACUGUGAAAAUAAAGUGGUCUACUCCUUCAUAUUAAGUGUUUUUGUAUGAGUUCAAGCAUGUCGUUCAAAAGUUCCUGCAGUGGUUUGAGUUAUAUUUCACCUCAUCCACAAAAACUGGAGUAUUGUUAUUGGACGAUCUAUAAUGCAGCACUUCUUGAAAGAAAGAUUUUACCAAAGAAAGGGAUGAUAAUGAACCUCGAUACUAGUUGUGAUGGAUGUGGAUAUCAUCUCCUUGAAUCUGCACGAAUCUUUAACCACCCCACUCCAUUAAACAGGCAUGAGAUUGUUCUGCAAGCUGCAUGCGCAAUUAAACUGAGACUGCUUGUCACUUGUGUUAGAGAUGCUUGCAAAAAGUGUGGCAGGGAAAUCAUACCUCUUAUUGUUGGAGAUGCUCUGAACUUAAAUGUAAUCUGUCUCCAAUUGCAUCUCCUUUCUUUCUCUGAAUGGUACAUUGAUCAAACAAGAAACCAGUCUCAAAGAAUUGAAAAGCUCCAAUGCAAAGAAAAAGAAAAUUUAUCAGAUGUUCGAGAAAGUAUAGCAUAAAAAAUAUAGAUCAAUUUUAAAUGCAUUGCAUUUACACUUGAAUGGACAAACUCUUCUUAUGGACAACCAAAAAAGGCUCCCAAAAGUGGUCGCAGAGUGUUGUUGCUCCAUCAGCAGGCAUUCAGCACCCACAGACAACCAGAUAAUUUAGUUGGAUCACUGUUGAACACACAAAUACUUCUCUCCCACACUCAUAGAAAGAGCAAUGCAAGUGAUACAAGAAAGCAAGGGGAACUUUAUUUGAGCCAAGAAUUAAGUCCUUCAAAUGUGCAACUUCAAGUAUAUCUUCCAUCUCCAAUCAACCUGUGGUAAUGAAGUACAGCAGCAGUCGAGGAGUUCAUAUGAAGAUGCCUACCAGAAACCAUUGAUGCUUCUCUCCGGCAGGAACAGAGAUCAGACAUCAGAUUCAUGUCAAUUCAUUCAGAAGACUGCAGAUCAUAGAUGUUAAAAAGUUAUUUAGGCUCUCAAAGAAGAAUAACUGUAAGGAUUAAGAGAUAAGGAAUUCACAUCGAGGUGUUAGCCAUCCUAGAAAACUUCAUCAGCUUCUCUCAGUCGGUAUGUUUAUGCAUACCUGUGAUUUUGUUGAUGAGCUGCUUCUCACGAGAAUAACUGUUUUACAGACAACAGCUUAAAAUUUAAAAUCUCAUCUAAUAAAUUUUAACACUACUUGAGGAGGAUCUCAAUAAAAUCAAAAUCAAAAUUAAUACAAAAAUAUGCGGUGUUCAUCGCAUGUCUGACCAACUCCAUUCAUGAACAAAGCCAGAGUUGUGGUAUGCUCUUCAUCCAAUAAGUUCAUCUACAUUUUGGCUUCUUCUUCCUGUCUGACCGGCGCAGGUCAUACAUGAGACAACCAGGAAAGAGAAAAACACCAUUAAAAGAGACUUUCAUGUUCUGGCUGACAUGAUGCUUCCCAGAAGUCUCCAAUCCAAUCUUAAACCAAGUGUAGAUGCCACUCUCUCUUUGACUGCUUAACGCAAUGGUAAUAAUUAUAGUUGUCAUGACCAAAUUAGGUCUUCUUUUAAAAGUUUUAUAGAGCUUUACUAAUAACCAUAGUCCGAUAAGAUUUUCUUAACUAUACGAGGAAAUCUCUUUGAGAAAAAUCGAUAGUUUAUCGUAACAUUCUGGGUUUUGAGUUCAAAUUUUAUUUUUAUUAUUUUUUUUAAAAAAUAAUAUAUAACUAUUCUCAUCAAGAAUUAGAUGCUCAUAAGGAAUUGUUUGUUUGUUGUCUACUUCUUAAUUAUGAUAUAAUACUAAAUAUGCUUAUUAAUUACUAAAAAUUAAUAAACAAUGAGGAGUAGUAACGUAUUUGAAAAGGCGUUUGUUAGUCUAAUCGAUAAGGACGGGCUCAAAUUCUAUGUUUAGAAUAUAUUCUUUGAAAAAAAGAAAUAAUACACAAACUAUUCUCGUAAAGAAUUAGAUGUUCAUAAGGAAUUGUUUGUUUUGUUGUAUCAAUAAACAAUGAGGAGUUGUAUACUAAAAAAAUAAUAAAAAAUGUAGGACCAAAAUAUUAUCCCUUCCAUUGACUUCGCCCACAAAAUUCGACCAUUAUCAUCUUCAUGAAGGCCAUCUUUUUGCGCGCCAUGCUCAAAUAAAAUACUAACCACACAACAGGGGCGCCGGCACCGGACGGCUACUUGCGCGGCUUUGACCGCUUCCUCUUCCUCCUCCUCCUCCUCCUCCUCCUCACCUUCGUGCUCUCUGGAGACUCGAGCGAGAGGAGAUGAGGGAAGGGUUGCUAAUCCCAGGAGUGGCACUCCUGCUGUUUUUGUCUUCGUUAGAAGAGGGUUCGGGGCAGCUGACGGAGCCCAGCUUCGGCAGAGCUGACUUCCCUUCAGACUUCAUCUUCGGAGCUGGGACGUCGUCUUAUCAGGCAAAUCUCUGCGCACUGGCUUCUCAUCUCGUUCCAUAGUGGGGGUGUUAAAAAAAAUCCUCGAUCACCGUCCAUGACCUGUUCUUUAUGGAUUCUUAGUAAGGAUGUUUUCCCCCUUUGAUGAUGCUUACUGGGUAUCACUCAGUGCACUCUCACAUGCUUUACUGCAAAUCUUACCUAAUUAUGUGCGAGACAGCCCAUCACUCCAUCUAUUCGUCAUCUUCUUGAGUUUUUCUUGAUAUGAGAUAUAGCAGAGAGAACAUGAGAGAUUGCGGAGAGAAAAGAGGUGAAGGGGGAUGGAGAUGAAAAAGGUAUAUAACUGAGAUUGCAUAUGUAGGUGGAGGGAGCAGUAUCUGAGGAUGGAAGGAAACCAAGCAUUUGGGAUACCUUUACCCAUGCAGGUGAACAUUCCUUGUUUCCUCUUCAAUUUCUUCACUUGGUAUUAUUAUUUACCAAACUAAUAAAUAAUACGUAUGUUAAAUUAAUUUCCAUGCACAAAGAGUUUGAAAUCUGGAACUCUUGUAAUUUGUUGUUAUUUUUGGGAUGAAUAACUUGGGGAUUUGAAUGGGGAUGAUGAAUGUUUCAGGGCGAACGCUGGACAAGAGCACAGGAGAUGUGGCUUCUGAUGGCUACCACAAAUACAAGGUCUGUAACUUCUACCUUAAUCUAUGGAAAAAAAUAAAAGAAAAGAAAAUAGAAUUCUUCAUUUAAAGGUGUCACAAAAUUACUAGUUCGAAUUCCUUGUUCUAUCGUGCCAAAUUGUCUUGACAAACCAUGUUUCUGGCUCCAACACUGUGGAAAAAGGAAGAAGGAUUUAUCCAUAGAAAUCAAAACAUGUCCCAUGUUAAUGCCAUCUAUGAAGACAAACAUAAAAUAGAACAGUAAUAUAUGUAGUAAUUUCUUCUUAAGUUGUAAAAGUAAAUAUAUAGUAGCUUGGUUCGUUCAUGGUUAUGCAUAGGACACAUACAGAAGGUUUUAAUCAUACCUAAGAUAUUUUCACUGGAAGCAAAAUGGCCAUGACUCAAAUUCUCGUUCUUUACAACUGUGUGGUAGAUAGGGAGCCCUUUGGAAAUAUAUGGUCACAAGAAGAAGGGGAUCUAAAUUUCUUUAUAAACCUUUUUCUUUGAAGCCUACUCAUCAUAGAUUUCUCUGACUGGUAAACUUUUAGUCUCUACAUGGCCUGACCAGUUCUUGGAUCGGAAAUUGACCAUGAUGCAAUAACCUGUUUUUUCACCUACAACUCGGUUUCAAGAAAAUAUGCACUUAUGCUGUCCCAUAAAAGUCAAAGAAGAGACACUUUUGAUCACAAUAUUAGAAGCUUUAAGCAUACUUUCAUACAUCCCUCACUAAUGUUUGCUCCUCAUAUUUAUCCAAUUAUAAUUGCCAAUGAGAUAUGUAUGACAUAGCCAGCAUUUCUAAAGUCCUCUAUGUUUACAUAUUAAUAAGGUGGGUUUUUCCCCUGUUGAAACUUGAAAAAACAAAGAAGUAGAUUUCUGAGUUUUGCUGAUGAUUACUUUGGUGAAUUUUCAUCGAAAACCAUUUAUUGAAUUCUUAGGAGGACAAAUGCAGUCAUCAGAAACUUGUUCUGAAACUUUGCCCUUUUCCUUAUAUGAAUAUGGGAUAUAUGAAGAAUAGUUACACUAUUUCAGCAAAGAAUUUCAGGAUGAAAAAAGAUUGUUUUGUUAAAAUAUGUGAUAUGUUGAAGGAACACCACCAAAGUUUAUAAAUGUGUGAUCAGUUGGUUCUUCAAGUUCUUAAACUCAUCAAUACAAGAAAAAAGAAGGAAAAAAAAAAAGUCUUGCUCUAGCUAUACCAAUAUUGACAUUUCCACCUAUUGUAAGUUUAUUAGCUACCAGUUCUAUUAUUAACUUUUUUGCUUAUUUAUGAUCCAAGAAGUCUUCUCUGAUAUAUAUAAACCAUGGCCUACUGCAAUUUAAGAUACAAAUUUUCUUAUAAGCCACCACUAAGUUUAAGAUUAUUAAGAUCGUGUAAUGAGUAUCCAGAUAAAAGAUUUUCAAAGACAUAGGCUUAAUCAUCAGGCGUGAGUCUUUUUUACAAGUGAGGUAAUAUUUCAGGAAGAUGUCAAGCUGAUGGCUGAAACAGGACUGGACUCCUACAGAUUCUCCAUCUCUUGGUCCAGACUUAUCCCAAGUAUGACUUGAUCGAAACUUUUAGAUCUCAUACAAAAGUGGUGUUGUUUAUGUGAUGUUACUUGUUCUGCAGAUGGUAGAGGAGCUGUUAAUCCUAAAGGCUUACAGUUUUACAACAACUUGAUUGACGAGCUAGUAAAAUAUGGUGAGUCUUUCUUUUAAGUGUGUUUUCAGUAUGUGUGAUUAUGCAAUUAUAAUCUGCCUCUCAACUGGAACAGCCAACCAAUUAGACGACAAAUCAACACUACUGAUGAAUGAUCAUGUAUGAAAAAUGCUUAAACUUCUCUUCUUGAAAAUUAUACCUUUAGUGAGGCAAUCAUUUCUUGAACUAGAUUGGAAUGAACUAUGAAACUAUCCAAUAAGCUUCAAAUUGUAUCUGUUCAUAGCUAAAUCAUUCCCGAGUGUUACUCUCCGAAUAUUAAAUUGAACUGGCAAACUCUAUAAUUAAAACUAAAUCAAUCUUUUGCAAAGAAGCUCGAUGAAUGAUAAAUGAGGGAGAAUAAUAAGAGAUAAAAAAAAAGAGAAUGUAUAUUUUGCAUACUCAAAGAGAUAAGACAUUCUUUUGUGCAUGAUGCAAGUAGAUAAUUCAUACUUGAUAAUUAUAUGUUUCGCAAUUAUAUAAACACAUAAUAGCUGCAAGAAAGAUUAAAAAACAAAAACAAGAAACAAUUAUUUCCAGUAGCAGUAAGCAAUGUGAUAUUUAAGAUUUGAAUUCUGUUUGACAAUGGAUUUUUAUGAUAGUCAAUAUCCAAUCCUUGUUCAUAAAUUUAUUCCUUUCCUGAAUGCUGUAGGAAUCAAACCUCAUGUGUCACUAUACCAUCUUGACCAUCCCCAAGCACUUGAAGAUGAGUAUUCAGGAUGGUUGAGCCCCAAAAUGGUGUAAGAUGUCCUUCGAUGACUAGCAUACUUCAUUGUUAUUACUCAUUAGUAAACUUCCUCAAUCCCCAAAGUAAUUGUGAUAAUCUCAGCCAAUUAAGCUGAUAUGUAAAGAUAUGCUUCAGGGAUGAUUUCACAGCAUUUGCAGAUGUUUGCUUCAAGAAUUUUGGUGACAGAGUUCCUCGGUGGACGACUGUUGUCGAACCCAAUAUAAUGUCACUGGGUGCAUUUGACGUGGCAAUACUUCCACCAAAUCGAUGCUCUUAUCCAUUUGGCAUCAAUUGCACCGUAGGAAAUUCGACGACAGAGCCCUACAUUGUGGUUCACAACGUCCUAUUAGCCCAUGCAUCGAUCGUCAAAUUAUACAAAAGAAAAUAUCAAGUAAGUCAUUUGUCUUUUUCACUUUGUGCUAUCCACCAUUUGACCAUAUCAACAUUGAUUUUAUACAUUUACCAUUUAUACAGGCAGAGCAAAAUGGGUGGAUAGGCAUCAACGUAUAUACUUUCUGGUAUUAUCCACUCACUAACUCUUCUGCAGACAUUAAGGCAACCCAAAGAAUGCUCGAGUUUUAUGUUGGCUGGUAUUCUACUUAAUUCAGUGCGCAUUAUCUUCUAGUCUCACACGAUGGUGUUCUAACGAGCCAUCCACUAUUAGGAUCCUAAAUCCGUUGGUGUUUGGAGACUAUCCUGAGGUCAUGAAGAAGAUCGUCGGCUCGCGACUCCCAUCCUUCACCAAAUCUCAGUCUAAACAAAUAAAGGGCUUAUUUGAUUUCAUUGGCGUGAAUCACUAUUAUUCAGUAUAUGUCAAAGAUAACAUCAAUGCUUCUGAGAUGGGUCUUCGCGACUUUGUUAUGGAUUCCUUAGCCUUGAUGUUAAGUAAGUUAUUCUCUUGCUCUUUUGGUUCAGAUUUGCAUUGUGUUUUCAACUUUAGUGAGCUACUUACUACUGAUGCUUCGAUGCAGCUUCAAGGAAUGAGACACCUGGCCAGGUAAAAAUAGUAGAGUUAAUCUUCCUACCAUGUAGUUUCUUCACCGUGAAUACUUGAAACGGGCUAACAUCUGCUGCAACAUAAACAGUAUGACCCUACGGCACCUUCAUCAUUCGAUCCUCAGGGGCUGCAAUACAUGUUGGAGUAUCUCAGAGAUGCCUACGGAAAUCCUCCUCUUUUUGUUGAAGAAAAUGGUCAGUUCAACCACUCCAAAACAAUGCCUUUUCAUCAUGGAUUAAAAGGAUGCUUUGUUUUUCAUCAAGUACCGUAAUUUCUAUCAGGCUAUGGCAUAGGAAGGAGAGAGAGCGGCCUUAAUGACACCGAUAGGAUCAAUUACCUGAAUGGCUUCGUCGGUAGCAUGCUCGAUGCUAUCAGGUCGAUAUUGAUAUCUUUAUUACGUGCAUAUGAUAAACCUCCAAGCAUAGGAAGUAAUGCUUUAGAUUUACCAUUAAGAUUUUUUGAGCUUUUAUUAAAAAUAUACAUAAAAAUUCAAAUAUUCUUUUGUUUGUAGGAAUGGAGUGAACGUGAAAGGUUACUUUGUUUGGUCGUUCAUAGAUGUCUUCGAGUUCUUGACCGGAUAUCAAUCUCGUUGCGGAUUGUACCAUGUGGAUUUUGACGAUGAAAACCGUAAAAGAAAGCCGAAGCUCUCUGCUGGUUGGUACUCUAAGCUUCUUGAAAGAAAGGAUGGCAUGAAACUGAACAAAACUGCAAUGGAUACAGAAUACCAUGCUCGGUGGUAAAAUUCCUCUGCACAAUUCCUGUGUUAAAUAGAUUAAGAUCACACGAGUGGGUCGAUUCAGUUUUCUCAAUUCCUGUAU